GAUGAACGCUGGCGGCGUGCCUAAUACAUGCAAGUCGAGCGAACGGACGAGAAGCUUGCUUCUCUGAUGUUAGCGGCGGACGGGUGAGUAACACGUGGAUAACCUACCUAUAAGACUGGGAUAACUUCGGGAGACCGGAGCUAAUACCGGAUAAUAUUUUGAACCGCAUGGUUCAACAGUGAAAGACGGUCUUGCUGUCACUUAUAGAUGGAUCCGCGCUGCAUUAGCUAGUUGGUAAGGUAACGGCUUACCAAGGCAACGAUGCAUAGCCGACCUGAGAGGGUGAUCGGCCACACUGGAACUGAGACACGGUCCAGACUCCUACGGGAGGCAGCAGUAGGGAAUCUUCCGCAAUGGGCGAAAGCCUGACGGAGCAACGCCGCGUGAGUGAUGAAGGUCUUCGGAUCGUAAAACUCUGUUAUUAGGGAAGAACAUAUGUGUAAGUAACUGUGCACAUCUUGACGGUACCUAAUCAGAAAGCCACGGCUAACUACGUG
rnacentral:rRNA from 1 species